rnacentral:rRNA from 2 species
GGAUCCUGGCUCAGAUUGAACGCUGGCGGCAUGCCUAACACAUGCAAGUCGAACGGCAGCACAGUAGAGCUUGCUCUAUGGGUGGCGAGUGGCGGACGGGUGAGUAAUGCAUCGGGAUCUACCCAAACGUGGGGGAUAACGUAGGGAUACUUACGCUAAUACCGCAUACGUCUUACGAGAGAAAGCAGGGGACCUUCGGGCCUUGCGCGGUUGGACGAACCGAUGUGCGAUUAGCUAGUUGGUAGGGUAAUGGCCUACCAAGGCGACGAUCGCUAGCUGGUCUGAGAGGAUGAUCAGCCACACUGGAACUGAGACACGGUCCAGACUCCUACGGGAGGCAGCAGUGGGGAAUAUUGGACAAUGGGCGCAAGCCUGAUCCAGCAAUGCCGCGUGUGUGAAGAAGGCCUUCGGGUUGUAAAGCACUUUUAUCAGGAGCGAAAUACUACCGGCUAAUAUCCGAGUGGGGCUGACGGUACCUGAGGAAUAAGCACGCAAAUACUU